rnacentral:rRNA from 1 species
GAUGAACGCUGGCGGCGUGCUUAACACAUGCAAGUCGAACGAAGCAUACGAAUUGGAUUUCUUCGGAAAAAAGAAAUCGUAUGACUGAGUGGCGGACGGGUGAGUAACGCGUGGGUAACCUACCUCAUACAGGGGGAUAACAGUUAGAAAUGACUGCUAAUACCGCAUAAGCGCACAGAACCACAUGGUUCAGUGUGAAAAACUCCGGUGGUAUGAUAUGGACCCGCGUCUGAUUAGCUAGUUGGUAAGGUAAUGGCUUACCAAGGCGACGGUCAGUAGCCGACCUGAGAGGGUGAUCGGCCACAUUGGGACUGAGACACGGCCCAAACUCCUACGGGAGGCAGCAGUGGGGAAUAUUGCACAAUGGGGGAAACCCUGAUGCAGCGACGCCGCGUGAAGGAAGACGUGUUUCGGCAUGUAAACUUCUAUCAGCAGGGAAGAAAAUGACGGUACCUGACUAAGAAGCCCCGGCUAACUACGUGCCAGCAGCCGCCGUAAAAC